rnacentral:rRNA from 1 species
GCCGGAAUUGCUAGUAAUGGCAGGUCAGCAUACUGCCGUGAAUACGUUCCCGGGCCUUGUACACACCGCCCGUCACACCAUGAGAGUUGGGAAUACCCGAAGCCUGUGAGCUAACGUUAAGAGGCAGCAGUCGAAGGUAGAAUCAAUGAUUGGGUGAAGUCGUAACAAGGUAUC